GACGAACGCUGGCGGCGUGCCUAAUACAUGCAAGUUGAGCGAUGAAGAUUGGUGCUUGCACCAAUUUGAAGAGCAGCGAACGGGUGAGUAACGCGUGGGGAAUCUGCCUUUGAGCGGGGGACAACAUUUGGAAACGAAUGCUAAUACCGCAUAACAACUUUAAACAUAAGUUUUAAGUUUGAAAGAUGCAAUUGCAUCACUCAAAGAUGAUCCCGCGUUGUAUUAGCUAGUUGGUGAGGUAAAGGCUCACCAAGGCGAGGAUACAUAGCCGACCUGAGAGGGGGAGCGGCCACACUGGGACUGGGACACGGCCCAAAACCCUACGGGAGGCAGCAGUAGGGAAUCUUCGGCGAUGGACGAAAGUCGGACCGAGCGACGCCGCGUGAGUGAAGAAGGGUUUCGGAUCGUAAAACUCUGUUGGUAGAGAAGAACGUUGGUGAGAGUGGAAAGCUCAUCAAGUGACGGUAACUACACAGAAAGGGACGGCUAACUACGUG
rnacentral:rRNA from 1 species